rnacentral:tRNA from 10 species
GGCUCUAUCGUCUAAUAGUCAGGACGGAAGCUUCUCAAGCUUCAAAUCUGGGUGCGAUUCCCAGUAGAGUCACCA